CGUCUAGUGGAUGACUAGGCUUGGGAGCUGUUGAAGGGCGUGGCAAGCUGCGAUAAGCCUUGGCGAGCUGCAUGCAAGUGUUGAACCAAGGAUCCCUGAACUGUUCCGAAAGGAACGGGAACGCCGGGAAUUGAAGCAUCUUAGUACCGGCAGGAAAAGAAAGCAAAAGCGAUUCUGUUAGUAAAGUCGAUCGAAAGCAGAAUAGGACAAACCGAAUCCCUGAUCGUGAGGUUAGGGACAUGUGGUGUUUGGACCAGGUUACAAUCUCUUAUUGUGAGUUGAAGUCAACUGGAACGUUGUACCGUAGAGCGUGAAAGUCGCGUAAACAAAAUAAUGAGAGUUGAUUGCCAGGUAUCCAGAGUAGGGCGCAUUGGAUUUUGCGUCUGAAUAUGCGAGUCACUUGCUCGUAAUCCUAAAUACUCCCCAAGUCCGAUAGCUCACUAGUACCGUGAGGGAAAGUUGAAAAGUACCCUUAACAGGGGGUGAAAAGCGCCUGAAACUAGACGGCCAUAGGCGGGCAGGGCACAGAAGAAUUAAAGCUACGCGAAGUGAAAAUGGGAAACUGUUGGAACGAGUAGUAGUGUUCAGUGUCUUGUCGUUCGUCCUGAAACACGACCGAGGGAGUUGACGGUUGUGGCAAGGUUAAUCCUCUUCGAGGAGAAGCCGCAGCGAAAGCGAAAACCCGCAGCACUUGUUGUGAGGGGUUGAGUAUGAAUAGUGCUUGAGUCACAAACGUCAGACCUGAAACCAGAUGAUCUAUUCCUGUGCAGGUUGAAGUCCCCCUACCGGGGGAUGGAGGACCGCAACCGUUGUUAGUCCAACUGCUCGGGUGACAUGGGAAUAGGAGUAAAAUGCCAUUCGAAUCUGGUGAUAGCAGGCUCCUUCCGAAGAAGCUCUUAGGCUUGCCCUCGCUGAGAUUGAUUAUGGGGUAGAGAUACUGAUUAGAAAGUACUGUCCGGAAACGGGUAGCUUUCUUGUCAAACUCCGAAUCUGUAAUCGUCAUAGAAGCGAGGAGUCGGGGCAUCUGGGGUAAGCCUGGUGUCCUUAAGGGGAACAACCCAGACUUGGGUUAAGGCCCAUAAAUGCGGAUUAAGUGUCAAUCACGAAAAGUGUCCUUUUCCUAAAACAAUGUGGAGGUAGGCUUAGAAGCAGCCAUCCUUUAAAGAAAGCGUAACAGCUCACACAUCUAGGUAAAGGGCCUUGAAAAUAAGCUGGGCUAAAAUCCGCUGCCGAUACCCAGGAAUAUAUUCAGAGAGUAUAAUUUGGUAGGAAGGUGCUCUGAUAGAGUAGAAGCAAGGGAGUAAUCUCUUGUGGAUCUGUUAGAGAUAUGGAUCCUCGGGCUAGUAAUAAUAAAGAGAGGUGAGAAUCCUCUCCGUCGAAAGGGCAAGGGUUCCUUAGCGCUAAUCAUUAGCUAAGGGUUAGCCGGUCCUAAGGGCAACCGUAACACGGAUUGUCCGAAAGGGAAACGCGUUCAUAUUCGCGUGCCAUACAGAUACGAUUUCGGUAACGAUAGCUUACUUUCAGACGUUUCGGGCUAGGGUUUACUACGCUGUCGCGUGGUUUAACUAGUAUAAAUCCAUGGAGAGCCGUAAUGGCGAGAAGUGGAUUAAAGCUAGGAACAGGAGCAAUCUAAACUCAAGGCCGGGAACCCGUGAAAAUGGAAGUAAGAAGGAUUCUGUAUGACCGUACCAAGAACCGAGAAAAGUGCCCCUGGCUGAGAAGGCCUAGACGUCUCAGGGAAUAACUCUAUUUAGGGAAUUCGGCAACAAUAGCCCUGUAUCUUAGGUAUAAGGGGUGCCUGCAGUGCAGACUGCAGGUUGCAAUAACAAGUGGAGUCCGACUGUUUAUCAAAAACACAGGUGACUGCUAGCCAGCAAUGGUGUGUAUAGUCGCUGACUCCUGCUCACUGCCAGUACGUGAAACUCCUGUUCAAGGGAACUAAGCGCUGGUAAAGAGCGGGCCUAACUCUGAGGCUCUUAUGGUAGCGUAAUACCUUGCCGGUUGAUUGCCGGCUUGCACCAACGGAGCAACGAGAUUCCAGCUGUCCCAAAUAGAGGCCUGAUGAACUCGCUGCGCGGUGAACAUGCCGCGGAAUUCCAACGGGAAGAGAAGACCCCACGGAGGUUUACCACAAUCUGAUGUUGUGGUAUGGUUUUCGAUGUGGAGCGUAGAUGGUAGCGUCGAAAUAAUUUCGCUAGGAAUUAUGGAGCAACAAUGGAACACCAUCCUUUGAAAACUAUACCGCUUUACCUGUAAGGGAACAGCAUUUGACUUGGUGGUUGGGCUGGGGUGGCACGCCCCUGAAAAAGUAUCAGGGGCGCCCUAAGGUGUGCUCAGGAGAGUCAGAAAUUCUCCGUAGAAUGCAAAAGUAAAAGCACGCUUGACUAUGAUCCUCAAAGCACGGAUCGUGGAUUCGAAAGAAGGGUUUAGCGAACGUCAGUAGCGCUUAAGUGGCGCUCUGGUCUAACAGUGAACUUACCCUGGGGGUAACCGAGUGGUCGCGGGUGAGAGUUCACAUCGACCCCGCGGUUUGCGACCUCGCCGUCGUCUCUUGGUAUCCUGGCAGUGCAUAAGCUGCCAAGGGUGCAGGUGUUAACUGAUUAAAACCGAACGUUAGUUGGGUUAAGAACGGUGCGAGCCAGUUUGGUUACUAUCUGUUGGAGUUGUCGAGUGUCUGAGGGGAAGGAGCACUGAGUACGAGAGGAACGGUGCUUCGUGGCCUCUGGUUAACCAGUUGUCUGACAAGGCAUCGCUGGGUAGCUACGCCAUAGCUUAUAAGAGCUGAAAGCAUCUAAGCUCGAAGAAGCCCCUAAAAAGAGACA
rnacentral:rRNA from 1 species